GCCCCUGGCUAGCUCAGUCGGUAGAGAAUGAAACUCUUAAUUUCAGGGUUGUGGGUUUGAGCCCCACGUUGGGCG